GAUCUGCCAGGGCCACAGUGGAGAUUAUGAAGUCAGGAGCAGAGCUGACAGGAGACUCGAGAUCUCUUUAACUCCAUCUCAGGACCACACAACAGGAGCAGAAUGAGCAUGCCUUUACUGGAGGGUUGAAAAACAACGUGGAGAAGACAAGGGCAGCAGAUAGGAUUGGAAGGUACUCCGAGGGAUCCCUCAGCCCACUCAAGUCAUUCCUAACUAAUGUUUGUCUAAUUUGUCCUUAAAUACUCCUGUCUGCAAUUUAAACAUAUCAUCAGAGUGGGCAGUAAGAGUAACUCCUUGCAGAACUCCUGUGUUAUUUGAAGACUGUUAUGACUCCUUGAGUCUUGUCUGAAUUAAACAAACCCAGUUCCCUCCAUCUUCCCCCUCGGGUGUUUCCAAACCUUUGGCCCUCCUUGCUGCUCUCAGCCUGACUUGCUUCUUUCCCUGUGUUUGGUGAAUUAAACUCCCCACAGAGCUCCAGGCUCAGGGAGGUUGCUUCAUACAUCCUGUGUGUGACAUCUUCAUCUCUCACAAUUAAUUGUGUAAUUAGGUGUCCCCCGUGCUGUGCAAGCACGACUGAUUAUUUCUACCCAAGUGCAGUGUAUUGCACUUGCUUCCCCUGAACUGUAUCUUAUUUGUAUCUGCAGUUUGUUUAGGUAAGUUUGGAAGUGUAAUCCUGUCCUCCACAAUCCCUGUGCCU